CGGAGAUAGAGAUUCCUUGUAUAUAUUUAUGUAUAUAAAAGAAAAAGGUUUAAUGAUUUGUUAGGUUUUCCCACCGAUUCUAUAAAAAGUGAUAUUCCUCAUCGCAAUCGUCUUCGACAACAGAGGUAAACUAAUGGGGGCAGAGGCGAAUCAAGCAGGGCAUUGUACGCAACUGGAAACGACGCCGGAGAUUGUUGAUGCCUUGCUCGAGGCUGCUAGAUAUGAUGAUAUUGAUGACAUUAAAAGCUUAGCAUCUGAAGGGGUUUCUCUUGAUUCCAAGGAUUCACUGGGCCGAACAGCGCUUCAUAUGGCUGCAGCGAAUGGGCAUCUUGAUAUUGUAGAGUAUCUUAUCAGCCAAAGAGUGGUAAUAAAUCUAUCUCGCAAUUUUUUAUUCAUGCAAUCACUUUUAGACUGUUGGUCAGCUAUUGGGUAAGGAUUUAUUGUUGGCGUACCAAAAAUUUAAAUCUUAGGAUGACAAUUAUUUACUGUGAUUGCAUUUUGAUUCAUUUGAUAAAUCUAAUGCCAAGUGCCAAACUGAUCUUUAGCUGGCACAUGCUAUCUAAUUUAGUGGAAAAGGUUUAUUUUGUUAUAUUUUUACCACCAUGGGAAAAAGAAAGAAAGAAAGAAAAUAGUAUCUUAUUUACUGGUUGAUGUUUUUUCUCUUUUAUUUACACAAGGGUUAAUCACAAAAUAAAUCAUGAGGUUUUCCUCCAAGAAUACUUUUGGCUCUAUUGUUUGACAAUUAACACUUUUAGUCCAUAUGCUAUCAUAAGUGAAAAAUACAAAUUUUGAUGGACUAUAGUGUUCUACAAAUUAAUGAUUCAAAGACUCCAGUGCAACUAAAUUUAAACUUUAGGGAUGAUAGUAUAAUCAAUUUAAAACGUUAAGGAAAGUGUAGUAGGAACAUUCGUAAUUUUAUAGUGAAUGACUAAAGUGUUGGUUUGAUAAUAACACCUAGGGACUGAAAGUGCUAAUAUUAUUGCUAUAGGGUUGCAAAACUUGGUUGGACUGGGCCCAAUUGCCAAGUUCAAGCAAUGUGAUAUAUUGCGUGGUUGGACAAUUCAAUGGCCCUUUGAGUUGGGCAUGAUCUUAAAAUGAUCCCAUUAAUGAAGCUCAGUGGACUCAUGCCUAUAAUACCGCGCUAAUUACAUAGGAGAUCCUAAGAAAAUACUAAGUUUAAAUUUAAAUCAUUAAUCAAAUAUUUCAAACUAAACCUUUGUCUCAAAUCUUGUAUUUGGGCCGGCCAUUUUGGGGAAUUAAAACAGCAUUUUGAAUUUAACUAAAGGUUAUUUUUAUAUCUUUUAUUUUCUAGAUCAUAAUUCAAAUUCAUAAAUCUUACUUUUGGGAUUGAAG
rnacentral:misc_RNA from 1 species